rnacentral:rRNA from 1 species
ACAAUGGAGAGUUUGAUCCUGGCUCAGGAUGAACGCUAGCUACAGGCUUAACACAUGCAAGUCGAGGGGAAACGAUAUCGGAAGCUUGCUUUUGAUAGGCGUCGACCGGCGCACGGGUGAGUAACGCGUAUCCAACCUGCCCACCACUUGGGGAUAACCUUGCGAAAGUAAGACUAAUACCCAAUGACGUCUCUAGAAGACAUCUGAAAG